GCGGACCCCACAAUCCCUGGACCACCUUAGAGCGACUCCAUCACCAUCUUCCUUAGGGACUCAGGAGUCCGGACUCCCGCCCCCUGCUUCCUGGAGCCGGGUAGACUUGGCUCCUACCCCAAUAUGAGGAAACUAAAGCCUGGAGAAGUGAAGAAGAUCUUUAUCCUGGGUUUCACAAGAUGUGGCUCAACUCCAACAUGGUGUUCUAAUCCAAGAAGCCAAGAAGGCCCUGCCCCAGACAUCUGUUUGCUUCUGCUCCUGAGAAUCCCAUUGCUAUGCUGCUGUGAAGACACGCAAGCAUCCCCAUGGAGAGAUCCACUUGGGGAGAAACUGAGGCCUCCUGCCCACUUCCAGCACCGGCUUGCUGGCCAUGCGAAUGAGCCACCUUGGAGGCAGACUCUCAAGCCCCGGGCAAACCUGCAGAUGACUGCCGCCCAGGCUGACAGCUCGAAUGCACCCUCAUGAGACCCUGAGCCGAAACCACCCAGCUAAGCUGCUCCCAGAGUCGUGACUCUCAGAAACUGUGUGAGGUAAUAAAUGUCAAUCAUUGUUUUAAGCCGUUCAGUUCUGGGGUCAUUUCUUUCACAAUGAUAGUUAGCACACCCCUGAACCUAACUGUCCUCUAACGGCUAAACUCCUCAAGCUAACUGUUCCCUCAUCGGCUAAGCCCUGAAUCUAACUCUCCCCCGAUUCCAGCAACCAAAUACCUUUAAUUUAAUCCUGACCUCUUAAAACGUUAAUGUUCAUUCGUUCAUUCGUUCGUUCGUUCGUUCAUUCAUUCUUCUUGCAACUAAUACUUAAAACCCUGGCACACACAUAAUUAUAUUAAGAUCUUGGGCUGCGGAAAGGGGG